rnacentral:ncRNA from 1 species
AGUAUAAGCGCCAGAACUAAAGCUUAACCCACCAGACAAUAGAUUUUAGGUUGGAAGAGGAAUGUCCACCGAGUAAAUCACAGAUUUUUGUAAGGUUAAAGGAAGUUCCACCAACCAAAUAAGAGAUUUUGGGAGGAAAAAGGAAUCUCCGCUUACAGUGGAGAAAGCUCCACCAACCAAAUCAGAGAUUUGGGGUGUGGCUUUAGUUGACGAGGAUGAGGAGUAUCGAAAUUUCGGCGGAUGCCUCACGGUAUCGCACUACCGUAAAAGGCUUAUAAAACUAGAAAGUGAUUUCUAGCACAAUAU